rnacentral:rRNA from 1 species
GAUGAACGCUGGCGGCGUGCCUAAUACAUGCAAGUCGAGCGAACGGACGAGAAGCUUGCUUCUCUGAUGUUAGCGGCGGACGGGUGAGUAACACGUGGAUAACCUACUUAUAAGACUGGGAUAACUUCGGGAAACCGGAGCUAAUACCGGAUAAUAUUUUGAACCGCAUGGUUCAAAAGUGAAAGACGGUCUUGCUGUCACUUAUAGAUGGAUUCGCGCUGCAUUAGCUAGUUGGUAAGGUAACGGCUUACCAAGGCAACGAUGCCUAGCCGACCUGAGAGGGUGAUCGGCCACACUGGAACUGAGACACGGUCCAGACUCCUACGGGAGGCAGCAGUAGGGAAUCUUCCGCAAUGGGCGAAAGCCUGACGGAGCAACGCCGCGUGAGUGAUGAAGGUCUUCGGAUCGUAAAACUCUGUUAUUAGGGAAGAACAGAUGUGUAAGUAACUGUGCACAUCUUGACGGUACCUAAUCAGAAAGCCACGGCUAACUACGUG